CCCCGCCCAGCCCAGCCCGGCUCGGCUCGGCUCAGCCCCGCCCCGCCACGCCGGGAAAACCUGAGCUGCGGAAGUGAAUCCGCUGACAAGUUUUGGAAAGGUCACUUGAGGAAUUUCUUUUCCAAACAGUAAAUAAACAGGUGGAACACAUCACCGUGUCUAAGAGUUGAGAGGACCCAAGAAUUCCCUGGGAUGCUUACGAUGUAGUUUCACCAACCAAACCCUAGAGACUCCAGGUCAGACAACUGAGCUCAAAAUCUGUGCUGAGGAACUAAAAGCAAUCAGAUAAUGAGAACCAAGGAAAAGUCGCAUAUCUAAUUAGUAAGGGCUACACAAGGAGAAGAAGGAAAUGUAAGACAAAGCAUCCAUUUGAAAAUAUUGUGCUUCAUAAGGGAGAAUCCUCAAAAUACAAAGAAGACAAACACUUUGAAAAAUCAUUUAUCCGAAGUUAAUGGAAAGAAUCUGCUUGAAAUAUAAGAUGCUAGUGUAAGAGGAGCAUGGAGGCAAGAAGUAAUACAAAAAAGUUGGAUAAAUCUGUAAAGACACAAAACAUGCAAUGGCAAGACUGACAUAUUAUUUGUCCAAAAUCAAGGAUAAAAUCAGUCCAUCAGGCAGGCAUUGGGGGGCAGCAAGUUAAACUGCUGCCUAAGACAUCUGCAGUUCAUAUCAUGGAGUGUUUGAAGUUGAGUCCCAUCUCUGUUUCCAAACUAGCUUCUUCCUAAUGCAUAUUCUGGGAGGCAAUAGAUGAUGCCUCAAGUGCUUGGCUCCUUACUAUUCGUGCUUAAAACCAAUUAAACUCAUAAACCUAUAUUAAUGAGCACACAACAUUAUAAAGAUAAUUUGUAAUGGCACAUAUACAAAACUGUAUAGGAAUAUAGAGUUUUUAUUACUGAAACUAAGUAUCAGUUCAUAUGAGGUUAUUAUAAAUUUAAUUUGUUAAUUGUAAUCUUCAUGAUAACUUAUAAUAAAAUAUCUAAAAAUAAGUACAUAAAAUGAGUAGGGAAUAAAGUAUUAAACUGGAAAGAAUCAGUUAAAUACAAAGGAAGGCAGUAAUGGAGGAACUGAGGAUAGAAAAAUGUAGUAAGACAUAGAGGAAGUAAAUAAGGUGGUUGAAGUAUUAGUACUUUAUUGUUGGUAGUCACCUUAAAUGUAGAUAGCUCAACUUCUUCAAUCAAAAGGCAAAGCUUGACAGAAUGAAUCAUACAUGAUCAGAUAAUUGACUUACAUGCUGUCUAUAAGAGACUCACCUUAGAUAGAAAGACACAAAUCAAUGAAAUUUACAGUAGGAAAAAACUUUUUCCAGGAAAAUAGUAACUAAAAGAGAGAUUGAUGGCUACACUAAUAUAGACAAAUAAGACUUCCAGACAAAAAACUGCUACAGUGGCUGGCAUCACAGCUCACUUGGCUGAUCCUCCACCUGUGGCACCUGCACCCUGGGUUCUAGUCCCAGUUGGGGCACCGGAUUCUGUCCCAGUUACUCCUCUUCCAGUCCAGCUCUCUGCUGUGGUCCAGGAAGGCAGUGGAGGAUGGCCCAAGUCCUUGAGCCCUGCACCUGCAUGGGAGACCAGGAGGAAGCACCUGGCUCCUGGCUUCGGAUUGGCGCAGCCUGCCGACCAUAACAGCCAUCUGGGGGAGUGAAACAAAGGAUAGGAAGACCUUUCUCUCUGUCUCUCUCUCUCACUGUCUAAAUCUGCCUGUCAGAAAAAAAAGAAAAAACUGCUACAAGAUACAAAGAAGGUCACUGUAUAUCAAAAUAGUUAUUCAUUAGAAAAAUGUAACGGUUAUAUACAUAUACCCACCAAACUCUUGGGCCCUAAAAAUAUAUAAACAUUGGCUCAAUUAAAGGGAAGAAUAGACAUUGCUACAAUAAUCAUUGGAGACUUCAUUAUGCCACUUUUAAUAAUGGAUAGAAAAACAGAAGAUCAAAAAGGAAAUAGAUAACUUGAAUAAUAUUGUAAGUGACUAUACCCAACAAACAUCUUUAAUUGACUAUACCCAACAAACAUAUAUAGAGCAUUCCACCCAAGGAAACCAAAGUAUAUUUUCUUAAAUGCAUGUGGAAUAUUCUCCAGGAUAGACCCAAUUACAAGAUCAACAACAACAACAAAAGCUCAAUAUAUUUAAAAAGACUGAUAUCAGAGCCGGCACUGUGACAUAGAAGGAUAAGUCUCUGCCUGUAGUGCCUGCAUCCCAUAUGGGAGCUGAUUCAAUUCCCAGCUGCUCUAUUUCCAAUCCAGCUUCCUGCUACUGUGCCUGGAAAACUGCAGAAGAUGCCCCAAGUGCUUGGACCCCUACAUCCACAUGGGAGACCCAGAAGAAGCUUCUGGUUCCUGGCUUCAGCCUGGUCCAGCCCCGGCCACUGCAGCCAUUUAGGGAGUGAACCAGCGGAUGGAAGACCUCUCUCUGUCUCUCUUUUUCUCUCUGCCUUUCAAAUAAAUAAAUGAAUCUUUAAAAAAAUAAAAAGAUAGAAAUCAUACAAAUAUCUUCUCCAGCCAAAAUGAAAUGAAACUAGAAAUCAAUAAAUAGCACAAGAAAACUGGAAAAUUCAUUAAAAUGUGCAAAUUAUGCCACACAUUCUUAACCAGUGAGUCAAAGAAGAAAUCACAAAGUUAAGAUUUGCUUACAGAUGAAUGAAAACGAAAUUUCAACAUACCAAGAUGUGUGAAAUGCAAUGAAAGCAAUAUUAUGGGGAAAUUAAUAGCAAUAAAUUUCCACACACAAAAAGCAGAAAGACCUGAAAUCAGUAACUUAACUUUACACCUGAAUGAACUAGCAAACUUUAUCUAAAACUAGCAGAAAGAAGGAAUAAAGAGUAGAGCAGAGAUAAAUACAAAAGAGGUUAGAAAAACAGAAGAGAGAAUCAAUGAAAAACUAUUCAGGCUUGGAAAAGAUCAAUAAAAUUGACAAACCACAUAAAGUUGUACAAAAAAAAAAAGAAGACAGAAAAUAACCAAAUCAGAAAUGAAAGUGGGAAUAUAACCACUAACCAAAUAGAAAUUUAAAAAAAUUAUAAAAUUAUGGAACAGUUGUAUGUCAACAGAUUAUAAAAUUUAGGUAAAAUGAAUAUAUAAAUUCCUAGAAAUCAAACUACCAAAUCUGAAUCAAGAACAAAUAGAAAAUUCGAACAGAUUUGUAACAAAUGAUUGAGUCAAUAGUCAAAAACCUCUCAAGAAAGAAAAAUCCAAGACCAGAUGACUUUGCUGGUAAAUUUAUUUGAAGAUUUAUUUAUUUAAAAGUAGAGUUAGAGAGAAAGAGAGCGUGAGAGAGAGAGAGAGAGAGAGAGAGCGCUAUCUUUCAUCUGCUAGUUCAUUCCCCAAAUGGCCACAAUGACCAGGAGCCAGAGCCAGAGCCAGGAGUUUCUUCUGGUCUCCAACAUGGAUGUAGGGCCCCAAGGGUACAUUUGGAGGGAAGUGGAUCAGAAGUGGAGCAGCCUGGGCUUGAACAAGUACCCAUAAAGGAUUCUGGCAUCGCAGGUGACAACUUUACCAACUAUGCCACAAUGCCAGCCCUGUCAGUCAUAAUUUUACCCAGUACUUAAGAAUUAACACCAGAGCCGGAGCUGUGCUUAGUAAGUUAAACCUUUGUCUGAAGUGCCAGCAUCUCAUGUGGGCACUGGUUCAAGUCCAGGCUGCUCCACUUCCAAUCUAGCUCCCUGUGAAUGGCCUGAGAAAAGCAGUGGAAGAUGGUCCAAAUGCUUGGGUUCCAGCACCCACAUGGGUGACCUAAAAGAAGCUCCUGGCUCCUGGCUUCAGAUAGGCUCAGCUCAAGCCAUUGUGGCCAUUUGGGGAGUGAACCAGCGGAUGGAAGACCUCUCUCUCUCUCUCUCUCUGUCUGUCUCUGCAAUUCUGCCUUUCAAAUAAAAACAUAAAUCUUAAAAAAAAAAAAA